rnacentral:rRNA from 1 species
UCUGGUUGAUCCUGCCAGUAGUCAUAUGCUUGUCUCAAAGAUUAAGCCAUGCAUGUCUAAGUAUAAGCAAUUAUACAGUGAAACUGCGAAUGGCUCAUUAAAUCAGUUAUCGUUAUUUGAUAGUACCUUACUACUGGAUAUCCGUGUAAUCUAGAGCUAAUACAUGCUUAAAAUCCCGACCUCUGAAGGAUGUAUUAUUAGAUAAAAAUCAAUGUCUCGACUCUUGAUGAUCAUAAUAACUUUCGAAUCGCAUGCCUUGUGCUGGCGAUGGUUCAUUCAAAUUCUGCCCUAUCAACUUCGAUGGUAGGAUAGUGCCUACCAUGGUUCAACGGUAACGGGAAUAAGGUUCGAUCCGGAGAGGAGCCUGAGAAACGGCUACCACAUCCAAGGAAGCAGCAGCGCGCAAAUUACCCAAUCCCGACACGGGAGUAGUGACAAUAAAUAACGAUACAGGCCCUUAUGGUCUUGUAAUGGAAUGAGUACAAUGUAAAUACCUUAACGAGGAACAAUUGAGGGCAAGUCUGGUGCCAGCAGCCGCGGUAAUUCCAGCUCCAAAAGCGUAUAUUAAAGUUGUUGCAGUUAAAAAGCUCGUAGUUGAACCUUGGCUUGGUUAGCCGGUCCGCCUUUGGUGAGUACUGGAUCUAACCGAGCCUUUCCUCUGGUAACCUUUCUUCGGGAAGGCGAACCAGGACUUUACUUUGAAAAAAUUAGAGUGUUCAAAGCAGGCCUUUGCUCGAAUAUAUUAGCAUGGAAUAAUAGAAUAGGACGUUAUGGUUCUAUUUGUUGGUUCUAGGACCAUCGUAAUGAUUAAUAGGACGGACGGGGUAUCAGUAUUCAGUUGUCAGAGGUGAAAUUCUGGAUUUACUGAAGACUAACUACUGCGAAAGCAUUACCAAGCACGUUUUCAUUAAUCAAGAACGAAAGUUAGGGGAUCGAAGAUGAUCAGAUACCGUCGUAGUCUAACCAUAAACUAUGCCGACUAGGAUCGGGUGUGUUCUUUAUUGACGCACUCGCACCUUACGAGAAAUCAAAGUCUUGGGUUCUGGGGGAGUAUGGUCGCAAGGCUGAAACUUAAAGGAAUGACGGAAGGCACCACCAGAGUGAGCCUGCGGCUUAAUUUGACUCAACACGGGGAAACUCACCAGGUCCAGACACAAUAAGGAUGACAGAUUGAGAGCUCUUUCUUGAUUUGUGGUGGUGGUGCAUGGCCGUUCUUAGUUGGUGAGUGAUUGUCUGCUUAAUUGCGAUAACGAACGAGACCUUAACCUACUAAAUAGUGCUGCUAGCUUUGCUGGUAUAGUCACUUCUUAGAGGGACUAUCGAUUCAAGUCGAUGGAAGUUUGAGGCAAUAACAGGUCUGUGAUGCCCUUAGACGUUCUGGGCCGCACGCGCGCUACACUGACGGAGCCAGCGAGUUAUACCUUGGCCGAGAGGUCUGGAAAUCUUGUGAAACUCCGUCGUGCUGGGAUAGAGCAUGUAAUUAUUGCUCUUCAACGAGGAAUUCCUAGUAAGCGCAAGUCAUCAGCUUGCGUGAUUACGUCCCUGCCCUUUGUACACACCGCCCGUCGCUACUACCGAUGAAUGGCUUAGUGAGGCCUCCGGAUUGGCUUAAGAAAGGGGCAACCUCAUUCUGGAGCUGAAAAGCUGGUCAAACUUGGUCAUUUAGAGGAAGUAAAAGUCGUAACAAGGUUCCGUAGGUGAACCUGCGGAAG